rnacentral:rRNA from 1 species
UAAUUCCAGCUCCAAUAGCGUAUAUUAAAGUUGUUGCAGUUAAAAGCUCGUAGUUGAAUUUCGGGAUCAGUGGUCGGUCGUGCCACUGGUAUGCACUGGCCCUACUGAUUCCUCCUUCUUGAAGAACUGUAAUGUCAUUAAUUUGGUGUUGCAGGGAAACAGGACUGUUACUUUGAAAAAUUAGAGUGUUUAAAGCAGGCAAUCGCUUGAAUACAUUAGCAUGGAAUAAUGAAAUAGGACGUUCGAUCCUAUUUUGUUGGUUUCUAGGGUUGACGUAAUGAUUAAUAGGGAUAGUUGGGGGCAUUAGUAUUCAAUUGUCAGAGGUGAAAUUCUUGGAUUUAUUGAAGACUGACUACUGCGAAAGCAUUUGCCAAGGAUGUUUUCAUUAAUCAAGAACGAAAGUUAGGGGAUCGAAGACGAUCAGAUACCGUCGUAGUCUUAACCAUAAACUAUGCCGACUAGGGAUCGGAUGAUGUUAAUUUUUAAUGACUCAUUCGGCGCCUUACG